GGCAGUUUGGCCGAGUGGUCUAAGGCGCUCGCCUGCUAAGCGAGUCUCUUCGGAGGCCAGAGUUCGAAUCUCUGAGCUGUCG
rnacentral:tRNA from 1 species